rnacentral:lncRNA from 1 species
CACCAAUCUGCGACUGUAGUCCGACUGUUUAUGAAACACUCAUGCACAUAUGGAACAUAUCGCGUGAUCAUAAAUGAUCAAAACGAUAUUGUACAAUAAAAUAUGGUUUCUUUCUAAGAACGAAGUAAUUUCCUCCUUUUACAGACUCACAUUUUCCCAUCUGUAGCGUCACCACGUGUAGUGAGGCCACAUGGUGAAUUACAAUUUUCGCAAGUGUACAUAUUCGUCGACUCCGUGCCAACCACUGAAGAAUAUUGGCUCCUGAUUCGAUUAACUGAGUGAUAUUCCAAGAUUCCUCCAAGAUUGAUUCACGUUUGAGGACAUAUUUCCGUGUAAGUAAAGGACGAGAAUCUAGUUGUCUCCCUCUUAAUGUUUAUUUACUUUUCUUGUCCAUGAGGACGACCAAAAAUCUAUUGGAUUCUUCCGGAAUCUUGGUGUUCUGCCAACUACUGUGAUAUGUCCACAAUUUCGGGGUGAAUGCGUGUAUAGAAAGGACCAACAUUUCUGGCGAUCCAGAAGGAGUCAUAUUGUCGCUAAAUCUAAAAAAAAAAAACUGCAGCAGUGUCGUUUUUCUGCAUCGGAGUUUCAAGGGCCUUUUCUUGAUAAUACCCACAUUCAUCAUCAUCAUCAUCAUCAUCAUCAUUUAACGUCCGUUUUCCAUGCUGGCAUGGGUUGAACAGUUUGACUGAGGACUAGCAAGUCAGAAGGCUGCACCAGGCUCCAAUCUGAUCUGGCAAUGUUUCUACAGCUGGAUGCCCUUUCUAACGCCAACCACUCUGAGAGUGUAGUGGGUACUUUUUACGUGCCACCAGCACAGAAGCCAGUCAGGUGGCCCUGGUAUCGAUUACGUGCCACCGGCACAGGAGCCAGUCAAGAGGCACUGGCAUCGACCACAUUCAGAUGGUGCAUUUUACAUGUCACCGGCACGGGAGCCAGUCAGGGGGCACUGGCCACAGCUACGAUCUUGGUUUUACUUGACUUAACAGGUCUUCUCAAGCAUAUCCUAUCGCCCGGCGCAUCAAGGGCCUGACAUGCAACACUAGCAUCCGCCAUGUCUGCGAUCUCACUUUAGUUGCUAGGUCUUCUCAAUCAUAUCAGCAUAUCUCCAAAGGUCUCGGUCUCCUGCUGUUGCCUCAGUGAAGUCCAACGUUCGAUGGUCGUGCUUCACCACCUCAUCUCAUGUCUUCCUGGGUCUACCUCUUCUACAGGUUCCUUCCACAGUUAGGGUGUGGCACUUCCUCACACAGCUCUCCUCAUCCAUACGGAGCUCAUGACCAUACCAGCGCAGUUGUCUCUCUUGCACACCGCAUUUGAUGCUUCUUACGUCCAACUUUUCUCUCGGGGCACUCACACUCUGUCAUAUGUAUCCACACUGACAUUACACAUCCAGCAGAUGUAGGAGCUCUCUGAACUUUACCCAGGCUAUUUUUAUUCUAGCCGCUACACUCUCAGAGCAUCCACCCCCACACAGACUUGGUCGCCUAAGUAGCAGAAGCUAUCAACUACUUCAAAGGUUUUCCCCCUGGCAUAUGAUAGAAUCUGUUUUCUGUACAUCUUCAGUGUUUAUUGCCCCAGUGCAUCUGCCACACACAAAAUCUACCUUCUUGAUUAACCUUCCUUUGAUAUUGCUGCACCUUUUAUGUGUCCAUAGCCUACACCGGGUACAUCAUAUGGAGUUUCUACCUGCCUUUUCUACAGAUUGAGUAGGGCCAUCUACCUGAAAGUGUUUGUGAUUUGUGAACCUACUUACUUACUAAGACUUUGGUUUUUGCUAGGUUAAACCUAAGGCCCUUUAAUUCUAGACCUUGCUUCCACACCCUGAAUCCUCUGUAGAAAAUCGUUUUUUUUUUAUAGACGAAUUUCUACAUUGUUCUUGGAGUCAUAUCACAGUGAUGGAAUUGUGUCCAAGAUCUUCUGUAGAUUGGAGGUCUGUUGUGAAGUAACAGAAAAGUGGAAUGAAUUGGCAGAAAAUCAAUUGAGGUCGAAAUUGAUGAGACCUUAAUUGUCCGCCAGAAAUAAAGAAGAGGUUGAAUUCUGAGCCAAGUUUGGUUGUUUAGUGGAAUAGAGUGAACCAGUAAGCGUCUUUUUGUUGUGCCGCUAAUAAAUAAGAAGCGUGACAAAGCAACACUGGUUCCUCUCAUCCAGGUAUAUAUCAUACCUGGCUCAGUUAUUUAUAGUGAUUCAUGGGUUAAUAUUUACUUUAACAACCAGCCACCAAAACAAAAACAAAGUGAAAUAGGUGUAAAAAAAUGUGUAUUAAACAAAUAUGAGAACAAAAAUUUGCACCAACAGACCGAUUAUAAAGAAAUUUGUGGGGAAAGAAUUUUUCCGAGGGAGUGGGAAGAGAACUUUCUAAGGGAAAGAAAUUCAUAAAUUAUUUUUUUGUUUUAGUGUAAUCGAAAAAAGAUUGAAAUAAAAUUUUUUAAUUCAUUUAUUUUUCAUCUGAGUAAUAGAAAAAGGUUUUAAAAAAGAUCCUAUCAUGGUGAGAUGAAAAAAUUCAUAAAUGCAGUGUUGAAUAUGAUUUCACCAUAGAAAAAAUUUAAGGGUAAUUUAGCUUUUGUUUUUAGCACAUCUCACGACCAUCUGCUACCUCCCUUGUUUGUUUAAUAUUUUCAGUUAAUUACUACAAGUUCUCUUGGUCACAAAUAAGCAAGUUAACAAACCUAAUGGGGGUAGGAAGAGCUGUAUUGAAUGUUUUACAGUAUUAAAAAAAUGCACCGUUAAGGAGUUAUCGGAGAACGACAUCAAGAACCGGUAUACAGUCUUCAGUGUCAUCAGGAAGCUGGGUAUAGUCUUGCAGCCUCCAAAAGAAACUUAUGAAGUUGCUGGGUUGAUGGUGAGAAAAGUAACCAAACGAAGUACUUCAGAUAGUCAGGCCUCAUUGCGGGUUGAAUAAUGCACUUCUUGAGGCUUCCUCAUAAACGCUCAAUAUUUUAUGUGCAAAUAGAUGGGUUAAGUGGAUCCAGGUUUAGUCACAGGUUGAUCAGGUUUGUAAAGUUUUAACAGUUUUGUAACAACAUAGUGUCUCAAAACAUUCUAAUGAAAAUGUGAUAGAAAUAAAUAAUUACCACUCUCUCUUUGGAAGAGAAAUUAAUUUUUGGUGGUGGUGAGGGAAACAUUUGUUUUAUUAUCACAAUCUCCACAGCUUCCGCCUGUAAUUAAUUGUUUUGCUAAUUCUGACUGUUUUUUGCUAAUUUUUUGACUGUUUGGACUUUUUUCUUAAUUUUUUAACUUUGAUUUUGUUUCUUUGACUAUUUGAACUUUCUUUCCUAAUUUUUUUAGAAUUUGAUUUUCGAGAUGGAUUGUCCAAGAUAUGAAAUGGCCCAAAAUUUAUCGGAAGAGAAUUUCAUACAAUAUCUGAAAGACAAUGGAAUCAUUUCGAAUCAGAAGACAUGUAGUUGUGGAAAGGAAAUGAGCAUAAGGCCUUCUCAGCGUGCCAUAGAUGGGGUGGUAUGGAGAUGCCACAAGUGCAAGAAUGCAGUGUCAAUCCGUACCAAGACUUUCUUGGAGAAGAGUAAGCUUUCUGUGUACAAAAUUUUCAAUCUAAUUUUCGAUUUUAUUUUUGAAAUGCCGGUAACCAGUUCCAUGUCAGCAAACAAUGUCAGUAAAGUCACAGCAAUACAGUGGUAUGAAUAUUGCCGUGAAAUCUGUUUGCAGAAAUUAUUAAGAGAUAAAAAAAAAUUAGGUGGCUCGAAUCAUGUUGUAGAAAUAGAUGAGAGUUUAAUGUUUCGGAGAAAAAAUGAAGCCGGGCGUGUGGUGCAUUCAUACUGGGUUGUUGGUUUCUACGACAACACCCAGAAAAAAGGACAUCUGCAACAUGUUGAAGAUAGAAAGACAGAGACACUGGAGUCACUCAUUAUCAACAACGUAGAACCAGGGUCUAUAGUGUUUACAGACCAGUGGGCUAGUUACCGGAAUCUAGAAAGCCUUGGAUACAUACAUGGAACUGUGGACCCAGAGAAUGGUGUAUGUGGAAAUCAAGUGGAGGGCUACUGGAACCGAAUUAAGAGUAGACUGAAAUACAAAUUCACGUCGAGUGGAGAUAUGCGAUGGUUACACGUCAACGAGGCCAUGUACAGAGACCUUUAUAAUAUGACGUACGACCGAGCAUGGGAGAAUUACAAGACCUUCCUAAAACACAUAGCAGAAAUUUAUCCACAAUGAUUUUUGAACGGUAUGUAAACGAUAAUUCUUAUAAUGUAUUUCUGUGUACUUUUUUGGGCAUACCUACACAAUGUGACUCCUUCAAUUUUUCUUUCCUCACAACUGUCUGAAUAAUGGAAAAAUGAUGGAAUAUGCAUUGUACACCCCAACCACAGAAAUUUCAUUAAAAGACAUCCAUUUUUCAGCAUCAAUUUUGUUGCCUCAUAACUUCCAGAAAAAUGGAUACUUUUUAACGAAAUUUUCUUUUUUUUUUUUCCACCCCUUCAUCACCAUUCUCCCCCAGACCGGUUUUGGCCAUUAUUUUUUUUUUUGCACUUCGAAACCAUAGGAGAAGCCUUUUUUGUAAAAGAUAUUUUUAAAAUUGUUAAUAUUUUCAGAGGAAAAAGUGAGUGAUUUAAGGGAGAUUUGGCUGUUGUUUCUAGCACAUCCUAAGACAACCCCACCUCAUUUCUUUCUCACUCUCAAAUAUGAUGUUUUUCAAUAUUUUUCUCUCCAUAAAUACAUUUAUAUGCUAUAAAAAAAAAAUUUGAAAAAUUAUAAUUCUUUUGGCAACCUCACUCCUUGCUCCCCAUUGUUUCUGAUUAUGAUUUAAAAUAUUGGAGAGCCUGAGAAGGUCAUUGCUGGCAGAAAAGAUGAAUCAUCAUCAUCAUCAUCAUCAUCAUCAUUUAACGUCCGUUCUCCAUGCUAGCAUGGGUUAGACGGUUUGACCGGGGAUCUGGGAAGCCAGAAGGCUGCACCAGGCUCCAGUCUUAUCUGGCAAUGUUUCUACAGCUGUAAAUGAGAAUUCAUUUUAAUAGCAUACUUUUCUGUUAGAAAUAUUUUUUUCUUACUCACACAUACACACAGCUUCUCUUGAUUGAGGUGGGGGUGAAAAUAAAGUCAGGUAGGGGCUACUUGUGAAGGCAUGCCAUUUUUUCAUGAUAAAUAAGUCUAAAUACGUUUUUCCUUAAUUUUGCAGGCUAUGUCUCCUGCUCCACUUGACUGCUUCCGGUGUUUUCUGCCUUUUUAUCAACACCAAAAUUAAUUUCUCUUCCAAAGAGAGAGUGGCAUUAUCUCUUUCUAUCACAUUUUCAUUAGAAUGUAUCGAGACACUAUGUUGUCACAAAACUGUUCCGUGCGUAUCACUUAGGUUGACGAGGGAAGGAUGACCUCACUUUGCAAAUACCUUAAGGGCACAGAAAGUGUGUCUAAAGCCAGCUGGAGACAAUGUUCUCCUGGGACUACAAGCCACAGUAACACCCACCCUUAGUGGUUAGCCAUAUUGAGAUGGCAAGUAUACAUCACAUUGUUAAAACAUUACUAUCUUGAUUGAUCUGUGACUAAACCUGGAUUUAAUAUAAUUUCAUACAAAAUUUGCUAUCAGUUAUAUAGAUAACUAGCAGUAAUGCCCAUCGUUGAUCAGG